rnacentral:rRNA from 1 species
CUUCCUACGGGAGGCAGCAGUGGGGAAUAUUGCGCAAUGGACGAAAGUCUGACGCAGCGACGCCGCGUGAGGGAUGAAGGUUUUCGGAUCGUAAACCUCUGUCAGGAGGGAAGAAAGCGCAUGGCGCCAAUCGGCCAUGCGUUGACGGUACCUCCAAAGGAAGCGCCGGCUAACUACGUGCCAGCAGCCGCGGUAAUACGUAGGUGGCAAGCGUUGUCCGGAUUUACUGGGUGUAAAGGGCGUGCAGCCGGAGAGACAAGUCAGAUGUGAAAUCCACGGGCUCAACCCGUGAACUGCAUUUGAAA